ensembl:lncRNA
CUAGGAGUCCCUGCGCGACCCUUUGAGGCUAGGAAGCUCCCUGCUGUCCUCCCCGCAAAGGGUGUGGUAUGCAGGCAGGCUGCUGCCACGCUGGAGGUCAAAGACCUUCCCCUUGUCGUGGCAGGGACCCCAGAAGGUCCUGAGGGCUUGACAGCAGCACCCGGCAGUGAGAGCACACGUGGAGACCUCGGCGCCCCAGGCACGACCUUGGGAGGCAGAGCAGGAACCACUCUAGGUCUUCGGAGUGAACCUUCUGGGACAGGUGUUGGCGGGAGUCCGUUUGCCACGACCCUGGAAGCUGGCAGCGUGGGCAGGACCUCAGGAGGCCCCGGCUUCACCAGUCCUGGGCGCGGAGCAGGGGGACCCGGCAGCCCGACCACAAUUGCCAGAGGAGGGACCCCAGAAGGUCCUGAGGGCUUGACAGCAGCACCCGGCAGUGAGAGCACACGUGGAGACCUCGGCGCCCCAGGCACGACCUUGGGAGGCAGAGCAGGAACCACUCUAGGUCUUCGGAGUGAACCUUCUGGGACAGGUGUUGGCGGGAGUCCGUUUGCCACGACCCUGGAAGCUGGCAGCGUGGGCAGGACCUCAGGAGGCCCCGGCUUCACCAGUCCUGGGCGCGGAGCAGGUGAGUGGAGUUCAGAAGCCAGGGUCGCCUCCACCCACGCCAAAGCGACCGGCAUGGGGCCACGCUGCUGAUCACGAUCACGGUUGACAAGCCAAGGACACGUGAGCCCUUGGCUGGAGACUUGUGGGCCCUGAGAGACUCUGGCAGCAGGUGUGUACCUCUGCAUCAUGGUCCAGAGAGGCAACGUGGGACGGGACCGCUCCUGGGGAUUGAUGCCCUAAGGCGGGGCCGGCCGUGGUCUUGCUGGGUUGGG